rnacentral:rRNA from 1 species
UACGUAGGUGGCAAGCGUUAUCCGGAAUUAUUGGGCGUAAAGAGCGCGCAGGUGGUUGAUUAAGUCUGAUGUGAAAGCCCACGGCUUAACCGUGGAGGGUCAUUGGAAACUGGUCGACUUGAGUGCAGAAGAGGAAAGUGGAAUUCCAUGUGUAGCGGUGAAAUGCGUAGAUAUAUGGAGGAACACCAGUGGCGAAGGCGACUUUCUGGUCUAUUAUUGACGCUGAGGCUCGAAAGCAUGGGUAGCAAACAGGAUUAGA